rnacentral:rRNA from 1 species
CAUGUAGGCGGCUUUUUUAAGUCGGUCGUGAAAAUGCGGGGCUUAACCCCGUAUUGCGGUCGAAACUGGAGGGCUUGAGUGCAGGAGAGGAAAGGGGAAUUCCCAGUGUAGCGGUGAAAUGCGUAGACUAUUGGGAGGAACACCAGUGGCGAAGGCGCCUUUCUGGACUGUGUCUGACGCUGAGAUGCGAAAGCCAGGGUAGCAAACG